UACUGUAGACCAGGGGCCUAUUCCCUAUAUAGUGCACUACUUUAGACCAGGGCCCUAUUCCCUAUAUAGUGCACUACUAUAGACCAGGCCUCAUGUCAAAAGUAGUGCCAGGAGAGAGACUUGAAUGAGGAUAUGAUCACGUCUCCCUACACCACGGAGUCUCUUCCGUAAGAAUGACUUGAGACGAGCGUUUUCGGGCCAUUUUGUUUUGUUUGUUUAUUUUCUUUGUCAUUCAGGCGACCAUAUUAUUUACCAACCGUCCAACCAAUGUAACCCCCCCUUUCACUUUUUUUUUAAUGCUGUGAAAAUGUUGAGAUGGAUCUUUUUGGCUGCUUGCUGUACAUACUGUACUGUAUUCAUGUCUUUUUAUAGAGACACCCAGCCUCCCAGAAUGACCUUUCAUUCUGUUUAACCAUUGGAGGGGUGAAUCUAAGAAUCUUAUGACAGUGGUUACCUUUGUCCUCUGUUCCGGAAUCCCAUUAUGACGUCAUUGAUUUGAAUCAAUUAGAAUGUUCAAACAGAAUGUUCUGUUGACAUUCCUUCAAAGGGGUUCAAGGAAUUCCAUUCUACAUUUACUUUUUUUUUACACAAAUGACUGCAGUUAAUCAUUGAAAAUCAUCAAUCAAUCAAAUGCAUUUAGAAUUAGAAUACACCACACAGUUCUACUUCUGAAGCCACUAGAACUCCUCUGUUAGAAAACAACGUUACGUUUCUCACAUACACAUAUAUACACUUGUCGUGGCUCGGCUCCAACACGCCUGGUAUCUUGACAUGGGGAAAGAGAACUGUGAGUGUUCAGAGAUCUGGCUGUUCCAUGACAUUCUAUUCUAGAAUUAGGAACGUUAUACAGUGCAGGACAUAGCUAGCUCUGGCUGUUGGCUUCUCGUUGUCUUUUUCUACAUGCUAUAUUUCUUUGCUUCCAGACGCACCACGAAGCUCACCUCCACCUGUCAGUCAGUGUAGAAACACUCUUUGCCUCAAAAACCAUGUAAAUGAUGUACUUCAAAACUUGUAAGCUCUUUUUAUAUCUCAUUAGGCGCAGGCACGCACCCAGACACACACACACACACACUUGGACUGGGGGUAAAGGCUUGGCAUCCAUCCCUGUACAGCAGUAAGAUAUUUCAUUUUGCGGCACUAAAGUGUGGAAACUGUCUGCUUCUCAAAUGGCACCCUGUUCCCUACUGUAUGUAGUGUACUACAAAAGAAGUGCACUACAUAGGGCAUAGCGGUUCAUUUGGGACACGUGCAAUAACUAUAGGAAGUGUCUUUGAGCAUAAUGCAAAUGACACCAAAUCAAACUGGAAAUGGUUUUGAUUUAAAAAUGUUUAAAAAAAAACGUUUUUUCAACUGACAUAACUGGCAUAAACCUUGAUCUACAGUAUGUGGAGGGCCAAGAGUUGUUCCUGACCAUGUGACCUGGCCCGGGAAAAAACCUCUGAGCCCAACUUAUAAAGCCUCUCUAUGACCCACGAUUCAAUCCGAUCGCUCUUUGUCCACAAUGCACGUUUUUUUUAAAGUCAAUGUUCACAGUAAAAUGUCGUCUCGGUCAGAAAUGACCUUUUUUUUUUUUAAAUGGCGCAUUGUCCAAAUCCCCCGGAGUCUAUAGGACGGGAUUCAGUCCCAUCUUCUAACUAUAGGGCCCCUUGUUGUCCAAAUCCCCCGGAGUCUAUAGGACGGGAUUCAGUCCCAUCUUCUAACUAUAGGGCCCCUUGUUGUCCAAAUCCUGCGGAGUCUAUAGGACGGGAUUCAGUCCCAUCUUCUAACUAUAGGGCCCCUUGUUGUCCAAAUCCUGCGGCGUCUAUAGGACGGGAUUCAGUCCCAUCUUCUAACUAUAGGGCCCCUUGUUGUCCAAAUCCUGCGGCGUCUAUAGGACGGGAUUCAGUCCCAUCUUCUAACUAUAGGGCCCCUUGUUGUUCCUGGUCAUGUGAUCAGGAUGGAGGAACUCCAGGCCUCACCCACACAGUAUGUGCCAACCAGUCAUAAUUAGUCAGUGUCCUUUCUUUUCGACGUCUGAAUGGACGGUCCCACGUUAGGCUGACAAGGAACCUAAAUACAGCUCAUUAAAAAAAUAACAUUUUUAAUAUUUUUUUUUUUUUACAUGUUUUGAAUGUCUGCACAAAGUGUAUUUUUAAUAAAUGAAACAAAAAUAAAAAUCCAAUUAUUACUCAAGCAUGUUAUAGGUUGUUGCAGGUUCCUUGUCUGUAAUUGAAAUUUACCUUUCAGUGCCAACAUAUGACAUGUAUUUACAGGGGACAACGACACAUUUGUUACCACAAGGUGACCAGACAAAUUAUAUAUAUAUUUUUUUUGUGGGGGGCUACGUCCCAAAUUGACAACUUACUCCCUAUAUAGUGGCCUACUUGUGAACAGGGCCCAUAAAGGCUCUGUUCAAAAUGCCCUGGUCAAGAGUAGUGCACUAUGUAGGGAAUGAAAACGGGUGCCAUUUGGGACAGAGCUCUUUUUUUAAUGAUCUUUAUAAUUAUUAUUUUUGUACAGUCGUGUUGCUCAACCACUGCAGUUCAUGUAAUUGUUGUACAAGUUGUAUCACUGGGUGUUACUGUGUCAUAUCUUCUGACAUUUGUAAUUAGUCCUGAGAAUACACUGCCGUUUUGGAUAAAAAAUAAUAAUAAUAACACAAAUCCUCC